AGAGUUUGAUCAUGGCUCAGGACGAACGCUGGCGGCGUGCCUAACACAUGCAAGUCGAGCGGAGACAUACGACGGAUAGGAAGUUUUCGGAUGGAAUUGAAGAUGUAUGUUUAGCGGCGGACGGGUGAGUAACGCGUGAGCAACCUGUCCUUCACAGGGGGAUAACACAGCGAAAGUUGUACUAAUACCGCAUAAGACCACAGUAUCACAUGGUACAGGGGUCAAAGGAGCAAUCCGGUGAAGGGUGGGCUCGCGUCCGAUUAGAUAGUUGGUGAGGUAACGGCCCACCAAGUCGACGAUCGGUAGCCGACCUGAGAGGGUGAUCGGCCACAUUGGGACUGAGACACGGCCCAAACUCCUACGGGAGGCAGCAGUGGGGAAUAUUGGGCAAAUGGGGGAAACCCUGACCCAGCAACGCCGCGUGAGGGAAGAAGGUUUUCGGAUCGUAAACCUCUGUCCUUGGUGAAGAGGAAGAGACGGUAGCCAAGGAGGAGGCCCCGGCUAACUACGUGCCAGCCGCGGC
rnacentral:rRNA from 1 species